GUGGCAGUCUAACGAUAGCCUCGAAAGCCGUCGCAACAGCUACAAUCCCAAGCUGACGACGCUGUCUGACCAUCGGUCGGCGGCGGCCCUCGAUCCGGGCCGGUCGGCGCUGCUGCGCGAGCGUGAACGUGAGCACCGGACACUGUCGGCUUACGCCACCCUCAACCAGCGCAACCGCUCUAACGCGAAAUUCAUUCGCUCGCUCCGGCUCUCUUCGUAUUACUAGAACGCCGACGACGCAGAUCAGGUGACCCGUCACCACGCAUCCGUACAACCUCCGCUCACUGCACUCGACCCCCCGCUUACGUCGCUGACCGGUGGCGCCACCUCUAGAUCCAACAUGGCCGCCGCAGUGAGGGAGUGUUGCGGUGGGUUCGACUCGCACGUAGAAACGUCCUUCACACUCGAUUUUUACGAGUUUUUUUAAGAUGCGUGAUUUCUUGGGGAGGGAGGGGAGGGGGAGCAAUGUGAUCCACGUCAUUGUGGGAAGCUGUGAACUACAAUCAUGAUGAUAACUUCUCCCGCAAGGUUUUAAUUUGUAUAUAAAAAACGUUUCGUUGAAUCAUGGUUUUUUUAUGUAGUGUAUGUGUGCGUGCCUGCGUGCGUGCUUGUAGACACGUUAAUAUGACGUGUGUUUAUGGGAAUUUGGCUGGAAUCAAGAGAAGUUGAUGAUAGCAUUUUAGUCUGCACUUUACACAUAUUUUUAACAGUUUCUAUAUAGCCAUGCAUUUUAAACAAUUUUGCAUGAGUAGGUUCAAUUCCAAUCAACCUAAACAAUCAUGCCGUUGUUUAAUGCUUUUCCGUGAAAAGCAUGGCGUCGUGUAUUUUUAGUGUACGUCGACGCUUGCUAGCCAAUCAAUGCCUGAACAAGUUGUUUCUUCGCUUGUCGUCAGUCUGUGCGCGAAGUACAGCGAUUUAUCGUAUUCACAUUCUGCCGUAUAUUUGCGCUGUUGGCUCAUGUUUGCUUUGUGUUCUUUCAUAUUCGCUGUUGUGCGUUGCUGCGAUGCCUGUGUUAAGGCAUCCGUGUUGAUUAAGAAUGCGACCAUGUUGUGUCGGUGACGAGUCAUUGAACUUACAUAGCCUGUCAUCUCUGUCAUGGUUUCACUUUCCUCCCCCCUCUGCUGGAAGGGGGGCAGGGUGGACGAUUCAACGCCGACAUAACAACCCUAGAUACUACAGCUACUCACUGCCAUACUAUGCGUAUCUGGUUGCAUCGGGGCAUGAUACAUUUCGAAUAACGGUGAUGUAAAAAAAAAAAUUUUUUGAGCGCAGUGGUGCUUUCGUCACGGUAGUAUUGACUUGUAAUCGUUUGUUUUUACUUUUUUCUUCGCGUUUUUAAAUAACGAAUGUAGUUUGUAGAAUCUUUGUGAAUUAGAUAUUUCUCGCUUUGUUUACAACCUAUAUCAAGAUGGCUGGAGCAGCUCCACUUGUUUACCAACAGGCGAUUAACUGAUCAAGUCCUAAACUGAUUAAGUGUUAGAUACUUGUCAUCAUUUUACUUAUGAAACCAUUGACUACUACCAUAUUUUAUCUUCGAAAACAGUGCGUAACGUAUGAUGUAUUUUGUGUGCGACUACGCUGAGCGAUCUGUACAAACGAGCGUUUGAUACUACUACCACUCGUACCCUGUAUGUACUCUGCAGCAUCAGGGCUUUUAUACAAGUACAUACAUACACUAUGUAUGUAACAGUACAUAGCUGUACGAUGUGAACAUACGUAUGCUAGCUACCGUGUACGUAAAUUGCACGCGGAAACAUUUUUAUCGAAGGAUUUUUUUUGACAGUUGUAUUCGUGAGGCCGUGGACGCUGUGGUAACAUUUCCUUGUUGAAUGAUUGAUGAAAGUUGUUUCUCGCGAGUUGUCACCAGCUUCAGCUGAUACUGCUGAUACGGUUUUCCUGUAAGUUGUAAUGUUAAACCACUGUGUCGUCACUAUUACGUGAACCCGUGCGCGUAUAUAAAUUUUACCGUGCAGGUCACGUGAAAAACGCACUGAUGAUGUCGUCACGUUGUUAUUGGACCCGUGAGAGCGAUGUGUAGUUUCUACGACGAAUUAUUCUACACGGUCUAGUUGUUAUUAUUCGUAACAAAAAAUUUAGUUUGUAUAUAGAAAUGGGAUUGUUGUGUGUUAUGGUGCGUGUUUACCCCCUGUAGUACUCAGUGGUAGCGUUGUCCUGUGUAAAACUGCGAAAGCUGCCAUGACAGUUGGUAAGGUCGCUGGGGCUUUAUAAGGUUUACAACAACUUUUGCACAAUCUGCAGGUGACUGGUAGGCUCUUAUACUAGCCACCCUAUCAUUCUUGUAGCAGCGUAACAGUCCAUACUGUUUCUCGAUGGAAAAGAGUCGUGCAUUCAUUCAAACGUCAUGAACCUGGUUCACCUGCGUGAACGCUGUUUUUAUAGUUGUAAGCUAUCGCUGUAGUUUUGCACUUGUUUGUUGCGUGAUGCACACAAUGAAAUAGUCACUACUGCAGCCGCUACUUUGUGUACAUAUAUAUAAGAACGUAGUGUCGCUGUUGUAGCGAUAGGCGAAGGUGCCCUUGAGAAAAUAGGAUGAGCUACAAAGUACAAACCAAACUCGAUUUGUGAGCGUACCAGCCACUUUGCUACUAUAGUUUACAAUAUUAGGUAGAGAUGAUUUAGAUGUUAGUAGUCAUCGUUUGCGCUCACGUUAUGAAUAGAUACUGUGCCGUACCUACUAUCACGUCUUAUUAAUGCGAACUACACCUGUUCAAGGCUGUUGUUUAUAACCUGCUUCACUGGUGUCUCUGCUAUGCAUCCGGCCAUGAUGCGUAGUUUUCGCGGUUGCCGCCAGAGGGCCAGUAAAGGCAGACGCGAUCGGUUACCGAUCUUGUCGAGCAUGUUGCCAAUGACUUGUAUUCGGGUUGAGUGGCACACUCGCUUAGCAAUAAGUUUUUACACGGGGAGUAACAAGUCGUGCGAGCGUGCGUGUGUGCGUGCGUGCGUGCGUGUGUAAGCCUUGUAAAAAGCUUAUUGACAGUGUUGCUGUACUAUUUGUGGGCUCAUUCACACGCUUCCCUACCGCACGCAUGUGUCGUCACGUAUUACAAUAACUUUAUUACAUUUUAAA